UACGUAGGGUGCAAGCGUUGUCCGGAAUUAUUGGGCGUAAAGAGCUCGUAGGUGGCCUGUCGCGUCGGCUGUGAAAGCUCGGGGCUCAACUCCGAGCGUGCAGUCGAUACGGGCAGGCUAGAGUUCGGCAGGGGAGACUGGAAUUCCUGGUGUAGCGGUGAAAUGCGCAGAUAUCAGGAGGAACACCGGUGGCGAAGGCGGGUCACUGGGCCGAUACUGACGCUGAGGAGCGAAAGCGUGGGGAGCAAACAGG
rnacentral:rRNA from 1 species